GCUGGGUUCAGAACGUCGUGAGACAGUUCGGUCCUUAUCCACUGUGGGCGUAGGAUAUUUGACGGGGACAUUCCCUAGUACGAGAGGACCGGGAAUGAGUAACCUCUGGUGUUCCAAUUGUGUCGUCAGAUGCAUCGUUGGGUAGCUAUGUUGCGAAAGGAUAAGCGCUGAAAGCAUCUAAGCGCCAAGCCCCCCUCAAA
rnacentral:rRNA from 1 species